UACGGAGGGGGCCAGCGUUGUUCGGAAUCAUUGGGCGUAAAGGGCGCGUAGGCGGCUUUGUAAGUCCGUUGUGAAAUCCCUCGGCUCAACCGAGGAACUGCGACGGAUACUGCUUGGCUUGAGUCCCGGAGAGGGUAGCGGAAUUCCCAGUGUAGCGGUGGAAUGCGCAGAUAUCAGGAGGAACACCAAUAGCGAAGGCAGCUCGCUGGGACGGUAUUGACGCUAAGGCGCGAAAGCGUGGGGAGCAAACAGG
rnacentral:rRNA from 1 species